AUUGAACGCUGGCGGUAGGCCUAACACAUGCAAGUCGAGCGGCAGCACAGUACGUGCUUGCGCUUACAGGUGGCGACGGGCGGGCAAGGCCUGGAUACCUCCGAGUCAGCUUUUUCGAAGGGGAUAACGUAGGGACACAUACGCCAAUACCCCAUACGACCUACGGGUGAAAGCAGGGGACCUUCCGCUCUUGCGUGAUUCGAUGUCGGAUUAUCUAGUUGGUGGGGUAAAGGCCUACCAAGGCGACGAUCCGUAGCUGGUCUGAGAGGAUGAUCAGCCACACUGGAACUGAGACACGGUCCAGACUCCUACGGGAGGCAGCAGUGGGGAAUAUUGGACAAUGGGCGCAAGCCUGAUCCAGCCAUACCGCGUGGGUGAAGAAGGCCUUCGGGUUGUAAAGCACUUUUGUUGGGGAAGAAGAGCAGCAGGUUAAUACCUCGCUGUUCUGACGUUACCCAAAGAAUAAGCACCGGCUAACUUCGUG
rnacentral:rRNA from 1 species